CAUUCAUAUAUUAAAAAUAUGUAUUUUGCCUAAUAGCCAUAACUUAUUUGAACUUUCAGGUCGAUGUUAGAUUGUACUGAUGGUGUAAUAAACAGUCAAGAUGAGUCGAUAUUUAAGGCUUCUAUUGGCUCACUUGCUAAAUUUUCUAUCCAAGAACAGUACAAGGAAGGGACUUCUAACGUUGUCCGAACACUGGGUCUUACUGGAUUGUCCAUUAUUAAUAAUUUGCUUCCGCACGAAGAGGAAACCGUCAUAACGUCCAACGAUACUCAGAUGUGGCUCAAGGUAGAGAGUCCAGAGAAUUUGGCAAAUCUGACAGGAAUCCCAAGCAAUUCAUCCACAAAACUUAAAAUAUCGGAACAGCUCGGAAAAGUGUUAAAAGGAAAAUCAGAAAAUGUUGCUAUGGAGGUCACAACCAUUAAAAAUAAUCCCUACUGGUGGGAUGAGAGCGACAAAGAUGUUGCAUCUGAAAUAAUAUCUGUACGUGUUUGGGACUCGUCAUCGUCAAACAUGAAAUUGAUAGAUGAAGUUCCGGAACCACUGGAUAUUUAUUUGAACGUUAAAGAUUCUAAAUCUGAAACACUGACAGGACACGUAACAAUGCCAGACCCCUCUGACAACGACGACCAGAAGGACUCAGCAGUUGUGGUUCACACCUUUGAAGUUCCUCAAGAAAACAGCAAUGGGAAACUUUUUGUAGAGUUUACUAAUCUAGAAGACACAGAGUUGAUGGUGUUGAUGUCUAUUAAUUUACGUCCAGAUUAUGAAUUGAUGAUGAAAAGUGCGAAAAAGAUCACCUCAAAGGAGCCCUCAAUCAGUCAAGCGUUCGAGAAUGUGACUGCAGAUUCAUUGCAAUUCGUAGCGAUACUUCCAGGACCAAAUGUUUCUCCAAAAGAAACAGUCCAGUACUCGAUGGAUGUUUACACUAUACAAUGUAAAACUCGCCAGAUUACGUCGUGGUCAAGUCCUGCUUGUACGAUUGGGGAAGAAACUUCUAGAUCCGUUGUUCAUUGCAAAUGUUCUCAUAUGUCCUUUUUUGGAAGCAGUAUAUUCAUUGCUCCCAACACGGUGCAUCCUAUCAAUGACAUGUAUUUAUUCUUAUCUUUGAAGGACAAUUAUCUGGUGUUCCUUAUUGUCACGACGUUGUUGAUAUUAUAUGUGAUACUAUUGAUUUGGACUCUGGUACAGGACAGAAAGGAUAAGGUGAAGAGAAAAGUGAUUGUUCUCCAAGACAAUUAUCCAGGAGAAGAAUACGCUUACUUGAUUGUUGUCUAUACUGCGUUCAAUAUUGGUUCAGGAACUGACGCUAACGUCGGUAUACAGUUGAUUGGCAGCUAUGCAACAAGCAGGGCCCAUAUUCUGCGCAGCAAUGAAAGAAAAGUGUUAAGAAGAAAUUCGGACGAUUGGUUCCUUAUUUUCACACGAAGACAUCUCGGCACUCUGGAGUAUAUGAACAUUUGGCACGAUAACAGCGGCGUUCACCCUGACUGGUUUUGCAAGAAAAUAAUAGUGUUUGACAUAUCACACAAUCGCGGUUACACAUUUGUGGUGGAGCAAUGGCUGUCCGUGUGGCCGGGGGAGUACACACAAAUCGUAGUGGAUGUCUCAAGUGUCGAUGGCGUUUUCGAAUGGAAGCGUGUUAUAGUUCAGAAUAUUAUAUGCAAUUUACAGGAGAAGCAUUUGUGGUUCAGCAUUUUCUCGUCCCACCCUAGAGCAAUGGUAUCAAAAAGUAAGCGUUUGACUAUGGCUUUCUGCGUCAUCAUGAUUACAUUGUUAACUGGUAUCAUGUUCUAUGGAGUUGCAAAAGGAGGUGCUAUUGAGGAUGAAGCUACUUAUGAAAUAAAGCUAAGGCAGAUUAUCAUUGCUGUACAAAGUGCAAUCAUUGCUUUCGUACUGAGCUCAAUAGUCUUCACAUGUUUUAAACGAAGCCAAGUUAUAAAAUCAGCGCAAUCCACAGAGGUAGUAACGUACUCAAAUGUUUCAAUUGAUGUGCAAGAUAAACAGAAAGAAAAUACAGAUACACCAAGAACAAAGAAAAAAGGUAUUGUUGCACUGAUACUUUCUAAGGUUCUUCGUGGAUUGGCUAAAGGAAAACCAUUGAUUCCUGUUAUAGUUGGUAAAGAAUCUCCAGAAUCAAUAAUUAGAAGGAAACGGUGGGCAAAAUGUGGUUGGAUUACUUCUCAGAUUUUCAUUUGGGGAAGUGGGUAUUUGACAAUUUUGUAUGGCCUAAAGUUGGGAAAAGUUGUCAGCCAGCUUUGGGUAACGUCAGCAUCAUUUUGUUUCAUAAAUAAUAUAUUUUUUAGUGCUCCUAUCAGGAUUAUUCUUUUCGCCUUUAUAUCUUCUGCAUUUGGGGAAAUGUAUAACGUUAUGACUUUUGAGUGUGAAAUUAAAGCUGUUUCACAAAAAAGUAAAUAUGGAAAUCAAGAUCAUCUUAAUUAUUUGCUGAAGUUGAGGUCACAUCCAAUGUACCGACCUCUGACGGAGAAGAAAUUGCAGCCUCAUUGAUUAUGUUAUAAGUACACUUGUUCCUGCCAUAUACAGAGAAAAGUGGUACAACAAAAAAACAAGUCUUACUUCUCCAGAAGAGACACUUGGUGCUAUGGGCUGGGUCGAAGAUGCUGCACACAG
rnacentral:misc_RNA from 1 species